GAAUUCUAACUCAUAAAACAAGCAAACCAACAAACAAUGGCUACAAGUUAUCUUUCUCUGAGAAGGCAAACUAAUUUUGCUUUGUGAAAUACUAGGUCAAGCCACCUAAUAGUACUACUGGGAGGGAUCAAAUAAGCUGGAAAUUAGCCUGAAGGAAAGAGAGCCCUGAUGGCUUCAGAGCUCAAAGAUUACAGUCAUCAAACCCUGUCACAUCCUCCAGGGUCUUCCAACUCAUUCACUACUGUGUAUAAUGGUGAAUGGCAUUAAUUCUCCUCAGGGCCCUGAGAGUGUCUGAAAUUAAAGCAAAGAAGCCAUAUCUCCACAGUUUAUAUACUGAAUGCUGUAUACCCUCUGAGGAGGGUUGAACCUACACAUGGUUGACUUGAGCAAUAGAAGAUUCCUGGGCAUUGCAGUAUGGGACACCUUUGGGAAAUGUGUCAAGGAGUAGAGAGUCUUAUAUAGUUGAUGCUACUAAAUUUGAUACAAAUAUCUCCUCUCUCCAAAAGCAGUGCUUCUUCUGACUUCUAUCCAUAUUCAGGUCUACCCUUUCCCCACUACCUCUCAGGGUCUGUCCUCUUUUGCACAUUGUAAAGGAGUCUUGACUUAUCUGUUAUCUAUGCCCGUGCUCCCUCUACAUUCAUUAUUUGAACCCCAAACUUAUCGCUACCCUGUCUUUCUACUGUCAUCAGAGGUCCACACUCAUACACACAGCCACCCAGGAACUUACUGUUUAGAGGUGAUUGGUAGCUGUAUUUACACUUGACUCAGCAAGUUCCUUACU
rnacentral:lncRNA from 1 species